GUUUGUGUAUAUGUGGUGCCAAUUUCAAGUGAAGAAGUGGGCUUACUCCUUCUGCCUCUUCAGAAACUGUUUUUUUUAAAUACGAUUUGGAGAGGGAGAGAAGAACCGAGAGAGAGAAGUCAAACCAUUUUGCUAGAAAAAGCUUUGGAGAAAUGGGUUUAAGAGAUCUAAAUGAAGAUAAGAGAGGGAAUUCAAGGAAUUAGAAAGAAAUUCAGCCAUUGAAGGUUAAAGGUGAUCAGGCUCGUGACCAGGCUUAGAGGCAUCUGUCUGGGAUCUAUUUUUUGUCAGCCGCCCUAUGUGCCUUCCGUGGAGGUUCCGGAUAUGUCAAGUGACUAUGGCUAUGUGAUUUAAAGUUUAAGUUCUGUUUUCUUGUUUGGUUAAACAAGUCUUGUGUAUUUUGUAAAUGGGGCUAAGUCCCUUUUUGUCUAAUCUGUAUAUAUAUAUUAUGACGUAAGGAUGAUGGAUAUAUAUGUACAUAAAAAGAUUAAAGUUUUUCUGUCUCAUAUAAGUCUGCACAGCUCAAUGGACCUUUUAUAUUUGUUA